rnacentral:lncRNA from 1 species
UUCAGUUUUGCUUCUGCAUUAUUGAUGCUGUAGGUUCCUCCCUUGCUCGGAUUGUUUUACUGCUCUGUUGGGUUGCUGCAACUGUUCUUGGAUCAAAGGGCACCUUCGAAGAAGGUUCCAGAAGGAAGCCUAGAGAAAACGGCAAUUGCGUUAGUGUAAGUACCUACCGGUUAAUUUCUUAUACUGGUAACACAAAAAAAAGAAAAAAAUAUAUAUGUAUACAUGAAAGAAAGACAUGUUGUCUUACAUCUCCCAACUUGUUUAACACAGAGCACUGUUGCUAUUCAUCGAAUUGAGUGCUGAAAUGUAUAGAGCUGGAAUAGCAGACAACAUCGAGGCUUACAUAUUAUUUGCAUUAGCAGAAUUGAUAUGGUUUUCCCUGGACAGAACAUGG